rfam:Leersia perrieri chromosome 7, whole genome shotgun sequence.
AAUAUAAGCAUUUGUUGACUUUCAGAUGUCACGUUUGACCAUCUGUCUUAUUCAAAAAUUUUGUAAAUAUAUUAUUUAUUUUGUUAUGAUUUGUUUUAUCAUUAGGUAUACUUCAAGUAUGACUUAUUUGUUUUAAUAUUUCUAUAGAUUUUUUAAAUAAGACGGAUGGUCAAACGUGAUAUACGGAAAUCAAUAAAUGCUUAUAUU